AGUAACACGUGGGGAACCUGCCCCAUAGUCUGGGAUACCACUUGGAAACAGGUGCUAAUACCGGAUAAGAAAGCGGAUCGCAUGAUCAGCUUUUAAAAGGCGGCGUAAACUGUCGCUAUGGGAUGGCCCCGCGGUGCAUUAGCUAGUUGGUAAGGUAAAGGCUUACCAAGGCGAUGAUGCAUAGCCGAGUUGAGAGACUGAUCGGCCACAUUGGGACUGAGACACGGCCCAAACUCCUACGGGAGGCAGCAGUA
rnacentral:rRNA from 1 species